rnacentral:rRNA from 1 species
UAGAGUUUGUAUCAUGGCUCAGAACGAACGCUGGCGGCGUGCCUAACACAUGCAAGUCGAGCGCGAAUAGGGGCAACCCUUAGUAGAGCGGCGCACGGGUGCGUAACACGUGGAUAAUCUGCCUGGAUGCUCGGGAUAACCAGUCGAAAGAUUGGCUAAUACCGGAUAAGCCCACGGUUUCUUCGGAGACUGAGGGAAAAGGUGGCCUCUGUAUACAAGCUAUCACAACCAGAUGAGUCCGCGGCCCAUCAGCUAGUUGGCGGGGUAAUGGCCCACCAAGGCGACGACGGGUAGCUGGUCUGAGAGGACGAUCAGCCACACUGGAACUGAGACACGGUCCAGACUCCUACGGGAGGCAGCAGUGGGGAAUUUUGCGCAAUGGGCGAAAGCCUGACGCAGCAACGCCGCGUGUGUGAUGAAGGUCUUCGGAUUGUAAAGCACUUUCGACCGGGACGAAAACCCGUAGCCCAACACGCUACGGCUUGACGGUACCGGGAGAAGAAGCACCGGCUAACUCUGUGCCAGCAGCCGCGGUAAUACAGAGGGUGCAAGCGUUGUUCGGAAUUAUUGGGCGUAAAGCGCGUGUAGGCGGCGUGACAAGUCGGGUGUGAAAGCCCUCAGCUCAACUGAGGAAGUGCGCC